AGAGGCAGCACAGCCAGCAGAGCCAGAAGGGAAGAGGCGGGGCCAGAGUGUCUCCGCUUCUGGCCACACUGCUCUCCCCGCAGCCUCCAAAGCAGCUGCAGCUCCGGGGUUGGCAGGCUGCGGCCGUGCCACCUGGGGCAGCUGUGGCCAGGCCAGAGACAUCCUCCCCUGGCCCACCCCAGUAUAACAAUUCAAUUAUGAAGAAACACAGGGCCUCGUUUUCAAAAGUGCUGAGCGCCCCAAUGCCAGGUGAAAUCAACAGGAGCUGUGGGAACUCAAGACUUCAGAAAAUGAGACUGACAGAUACCCACAAGACUACCUCCGUUGGUACCACUUCCAGGAACAGGCAUUCCAGCACCACACAUUUGCAGGGAGAAAACGUUGGGAAUCUUUGCUUGACUCACAAGGGAAUCAAAGAAUGUCUCCACCGAACUUGAAGGCUAGAGUAUGUUGGAGGGGGGGGGGGGAAAA